rnacentral:pre_miRNA from 14 species
GUCUUGAGAUAAUGAAAGAUCCCCGAAGGGAGACCAUUACUCAAGUCUCAGGAAGUCGCAGACCCCAGACACAGAGAGACCA